rnacentral:sRNA from 1 species
GGUUCACGGCAAGGGUGGAACCGGAUUCUGCCUGGAUGGGGAUCUGGAUGGGGGUGGGGGGUUGAUUUGGGAAGCAGAGCACAGCAGCCCAAAUUUGCUUGUAAUGUCGGCGGCUACAGAGGAAAGGCCAAGAAUGGACAGAUUAAUAAAGGGCCAUCUACAAGCCACGAAUAAGGCCAUCACCAGAAGCCAACCCCGCCAGUCCUUGAUCUAGGACUUCCAGACUUCAAAACUUUUCUAGCCUGCUGGCCUGCCUUCACUGUCCUGGGGGACGCUCGGGGAGACCAGGUGGACUGGAGUAGACUGUUGAGAGACACUGGUCUGGUGAAGAUGUCCAGGAAACCACGAGCCUCCAGCCCAUUGUCCAACAACCACCCACCAACACCAAAGAGGCGAGGAAGUGGAAGGUUCCCAAGACAACCCGGAAGGGAAAAGGGACCCAUCAAGGAAGUUCCAGGAACAAAAGCCUCUCCCUAAAAGACCACCGCUUCAAAAAAACCUGAGGAAUGGAGUGGGCCAACACUAUCCAGCCACUCUGACCAGCCGAACGAGGAACUCAAUCAAAAUGAGCCAUAGCGGGACCACAAGGGCAAGGAGACCACCACCUUCUACAGUCUCUCUUCGGGCAGCCAGUAAUUCCCGGGCAAGGCCAGAGACUUCAAGUCUAUCUGAAAAGUCUCCAGAGGUCUAACCCCAGAUAAAUAGCCAACAGGGUGUAAAGUACAUUUUACACCCCAAAGGGUGUGCCCCAUGGUGAUGAAAAUAAAGUGAACAUGUUGCAAAAUGA